rnacentral:rRNA from 1 species
AACGUAGGUACCGAGCGUUAUCCGGAUUUACUGGGCGUAAAGCGCGUUCAGGCGGUUUGGCAAGUCGGGCAUGAAAUCUCUCGGCUCAACCGGGAGAGGUUGUCCGAUACUUCCAGACUUGAGGGCAGUAGAGGGUGGUGGAAUUCCGGGUGUAGUGGUGAAAUGCGUAGAUAUCCGGAGGAACACCGGUGGUGUAGACGGCUUACUGGACCACGACUGACACUGAGGCACGAAAGCGUGGGUAGCAAACAGG